rnacentral:lncRNA from 1 species
CCGAGGUUGUUGGUAUCGGAGGGGGUAAUUUUAAAAGAGUUUAGCGCAGCGGAAAUAAUACUCAGAGAGCGUACAGCGUAACAAGUCACAGUUGAAACAAUUUUUCCCUUUUUAAUUUUAAACAAUUUUCUUUCAGAAAAUUUACCAAGCAGAUAACGUGCGUUAAUUAUAAAAUGAGUAUAGGGCAAAAGAAAAUCACACAGGGAUUUU